UCAUUGUUUAUUGUUGAGUGUUCUGCUUUGUGUGCUGUUUUUUGGACUAUUCCCUGUGUGGUGGAUUGUUUCUGCCUGUUGGAUUUUCCCUUUUGUUUGGACUCUCACUGUGAAUUAAGAACAUGCCAGAAGAUCUGGAAGUCCCUGUCAACAGAAGGUGUAGCCAGAGAGAAGACACUGGCCUCUGAGUCCUGCAAUGGACCUGUAGGCAUUGAAAAUAAACUAUAAUGCAUUCUGCCCUUUUCACAGCUAAAGUUACAGUUGGAUCUUUAAUUUUAUGAGAGAAUUUCAGCACUGAAAUCCUGUCUUGACGUAAUCUGUUCCACACAAGCUAUGUCUUCUUGUGGGAAGGUGAACAUUUUCAGAUCAGAUAUAAAAAUAAGACGGAUCAA